rnacentral:RNase_P_RNA from 1 species
AGAGUUGGUCUAGAGGUUGCGGGAUCAUUUUAUCAAUGAUUCCGAGGAAAGUCCGAACUCCCGAAAGACCACACUUGCUGGAUAACGUCCAGUGCGCGCGAGCGUGAGGAUAGUGCCACAGAAAAAUACCGCCCCUUUUUUCAGUAAUCAGUAAACAGUAAUCAGUAAACAGUAACGAAAGUAAAUUCGCUGAUAACUGAUAACUGAUUGGGGGUAAGGGUGCAAAGGUGCGGUAAGAGCGCACCAGCAGUAUCGAGAGGUACUGGCUCGGUAAACCCCGGUGGGGAGCAAGGUGGAGGGACAAAGGUUGGUCUUUUUCCUGUCCCGUUUUUAGGAACCGCUUGAGGUAAUUGGUGACAAUUAUCCCAGAUAGAUAACCUCUAUUCCAACAAAGGUAAAAGCGAUUUUACUGCUGUUGGGAAAUACAGAAUUCGGCUUAUGUCUGACUCUCUCC